CCUGGCUCAGGAUGAACGCUGGCGGCGUGCUUAACACAUGCAAGUCGAACGUGAGGGUGUAGCAAUAUGCCUGAAAGUGGCGAACGGGUGAGUAACACGUAGAUGACCUGCCCUGGAGUGGGGGGAUAACCAUUGGAAACGGUGGCUAAUACCGCAUACAUCCAUAUAUCUGGGAAGAGAUGUGGGGAAAGCUCUGGUGCUCUGGGAGGGGUCUGCGUCCGAUUAGCUAGUUGGCGAGGUAAAGGCUCACCAAGGCGACGAUCGGUAGCUGGUCUGAGAGGACGAUCAGCCACACGGGAACUGAGACACGGUCCCGACUCCUACGGGGGGCAGCAGUGAGGAAUAUUGGGCAAUGGGCGAGAGCCUGACCCAGCAACGCCGCGUGGAGGAAGACGGCCUUCGGGUUGUAAACUCCUUUUGACAGGGAAGAGAGAGGACGGUACCUGUCGAAUAAGUCACGGCUAACUACGUGCCAGCAGCCGCGGUAAUACGUAGGUGACAAGCGUUAUCCGG
rnacentral:rRNA from 1 species